UACGGGGGGAGCAAGCGUUGUUCGGAUUUACUGGGCGUAAAGGGCGCGUAGGCGGCCACUGCAAGUCAGUUGUGAAAUCUCCGGGCUUAACCCGGAAAGGUCAACUGAUACUGCAGGGCUAGAGUGCAGAAGGGGCAACUGGAAUUCUCGGUGUAGCGGUGAAAUGCGUAAAUAUCGAGAGGAACACCUGCGGCGAAGGCGGGUUGCUGGGCUGACACUGACGCUGAGGCGCGAAAGCCAGGGGAGCGAACGGG
rnacentral:rRNA from 1 species